AUCUAAAUUUAUUUGGACAUCAAUGAGAGAGAGAGGGAGUGUGUGUAUGUGUGAGAGAGAGAGAGAAAGAGAAAGAGAACGAAAUCGUGACACGAAGUGGACAUCCUCGUGCUAAUUUCGGGACAUCGCUCGAACGCGUAGGAGUUUAUGAGGCUCGUUUCGCAAAUUAACUUAUCCGAAGCGUCGGACAUCGAGCUAGCAAUUACUAACUGACCAUGGACUGCGAGGUGACUCUUUUAAACGCUGCAUUUAGUUUUAAGUGACCAUUGUCUCUAAGCCAUACACGAGCCAUUACUGUUACUGCUGUUACUACCGCCCUUGCACCGUCCAUCCGCGCACGUUAGAAACACGUUGGACGCUGAUACGUGAAUAUAUGCAUUCGGCCGAGCUCGAUGAUUCAUUCCGAAGAUAUAUAUUUUCACAAUGAUUAUGAAAUCAAUAAGGCAUUACUAAUAUAUAAACACAAGUUGUAUUUAAUGGAACAACUUGAAGACUUCCUUUGACUCCUUAAUUAGCUCUCGUCUGGUACCCUUUUUAAAUAUGAUUUAAUCUUAUGACGAGAUAAACAUAUUUGGAUAUCUAUUAAGAUUUAGAUUUAGAAUUCGACUAAAUCAGUGGGACAUUACGUAUGAAAGAAGGAACUAUCAUAGACGUCGAGUGCCAACUAAAAAAGUGAAAGUCACGAUGAAACUCAAAAGUCAAGCAUUGUGGAAGACUGAACGAGAUGUCAUUGAACCAAGCCACAUCAUACGCUGCUUUUACCACGGCAUACAACUCGAUUUUCUUUCCUUUUGUAACGUCCCUUCUCUGGACUUGAUAAAA